AGAGUUUGAUCAUGGCUCAGGAUGAACGCUAGCUACAGGCUUAACACAUGCAAGUCGAGGGGAAACGAUAUUGGAAGCUUGCUUCCGAUAGGCGUCGACCGGCGUACGGGUGAGUAACGCGUAUCCAACCUGCCCACCACUUGGGGAUAACCUUGCGAAAGUAAGACUAAUACCCAAUGACGUCUCUAGAAGACAUCUGAAAGAGAUUAAAGAUUUAUCGGUGAUGGGUGGGGAUGCGUCUGAUUAGCUUGUUGGCGGGGUAACGGCCCACCAAGGCGACGAUCAGUAGGGGUUCUGAGGGGAAGGCCCCCCACAUUGGAACUGAGACACGGUCCAAACUCCUACGGGAGGAAGCA
rnacentral:rRNA from 1 species